rnacentral:rRNA from 1 species
UACGAAGGGGGCUAGCGUUGCUCGGAAUCACUGGGCGUAAAGGGUGCGUAGGCGGGUCUUUAAGUCAGGGGUGAAAUCCUGGAGCUCAACUCCAGAACUGCCUUUGAUACUGAGGAUCUUGAGUCCGGGAGAGGUGAGUGUAACUGCGAGUGUAGAGGUGAAAUUCGUAGAUAUUCGCAAGAACACCAGUGGCGAAGGCGGCUCACUGGCCCGGUACUGACGCUGAGGCACGAAAGCGUGGGGAGCAAACAGG